CCUGCACAGCACAGUGAUUAAAUACACUGAUAGAAGUCUUUUUGAGACAAGGCCUCACUAGCCCUUCAGGUGCCUGUCACCUCCUUCCGAUGACAAGCCAGGGAGGCUGCAGGGACCUGGGCUCAGCCGCUCUCAUGCAGCUCUGUCAGUAUCCUCUGGUUAGUCAUUCUGCUGCAACUGUGCAGUCUCCGUGACCACAGCAGGCGCCACUCGGGGUGGGCACAGCCCCCAAGGUGUCUGUGUGACUUCAUCUGUCACCUCCUCAGUCACUGGCCACCCCUCCACCAACACGCUGCUCCUGUCCUACUUUACUGUUUUAUUAGUGUGGAUCAACACCUAAUAUGUUCUCAGGUGAACAAACUCAAUGAUACUACUUUAGGAAUGAAGUUUGAACAUAAUAUAUGUGUCACAACAGAUCAGAGAGAAAGUGGACUUGAACAGAGUGUGAUCUCACAACUCCUGCACGUGAUUUGAUGGCACUGCGUUCAGCAUGUGUAACAUCCACUGCUCAAGACUCCAUGUGUGGCCAUGUACCGGCGACCACAGGGACGCAGUCUCUCAGGCAGCAGGAUCUCCAGCUACUUCCUCUGCACGCUAUGACCUGGGAAGCAACCAUCUGGCCGUCUCCACCCAAAGACUCUAAGAAUUUCCAGAGAGCCCUGGCAGGCAGAGACUAUCUUCUGCCACAAGGGGAGUCCCAGGCUCCACAUCACCAGGGUGGACAAUUACGGAAAUCGUUCCUCAGUUGUGUAUAAUCUGCUGAUAAGCACAUGAAAAGCACUCUUCCUUUCUGUUUUGGUGUUUUUGACUUGUAGCAUUUCUUUUUGAUUCUUAAGACUUUCCAUCCUGCUUAAACCACCUGUUUUUUCUUGCA